GGGUGAGUAAUGCCUAGGAAUCUGCCUGGUAGUGGGGGACAACGUUUCGAAAGGAACGCUAAUACCGCAUACGUCCUACGGGAGAAAGCAGGGGACCUUCGGGCCUUGCGCUAUCAGAUGAGCCUAGGUCGGAUUAGCUAGUUGGUGGGGUAAUGGCUCACCAAGGCGACGAUCCGUAACUGGUCUGAGAGGAUGAUCAGUCACACUGGAACUGAGACACGGUCCAGACUCCUACGGGAGGCAGCAGUGGGGAAUAUUGGACAAUGGGCGAAAGCCUGAUCCAGCCAUGCCGCGUGUGUGAAGAAGGUCUUCGGAUUGUAAAGCACUUUAAGUUGGGAGGAAGGGCAGUAAGUUAAUACCUUGCUGUUUUGACGUUACCGACAGAAUAAGCACCGGCUAACUCUGUGCCAGCAGCCGCGGUAAUACAGAGGGUGCAAGCGUUAAUCGGAAUUACUGGGCGUAAAGCGCGCGUAGGUGGUUCGUUAAGUUGGAUGUGAAAGCCCCGGGCUCAACCUGGGAACUGCAUCCAAAACUGGCGAGCUAGAGUACGGUAGAGGGUGG
rnacentral:rRNA from 1 species